rnacentral:misc_RNA from 1 species
GCCAACGGGGAGAGAGCAAUUCAUGGUGAGUCGAAUGUUCUCGAUUGUUGUAAAAUUUUCGUUGAUGAAUAUUUGCGCACUGAGGCUGUCGGCAUCCCUCUCCGAUACGAACAUACGCUGAGUUGGACAUCGCUGAUCGUUUUGGAUUUCCCUUGCCCUGAUUUCACCCGGGAUGCUGACGUCCCCCCUGGGUAUCAUCCCGAGGGCAUCUCCCUCUGAUCUGCGUGGGAAUUGCGACGUACGUCGUGUAGGAUCUUCUUCCUCCCCGAU